AAUAACGUUAUAGUUUUCAAAGUUAAGAAACACAUUGAAACGUUUUUACAAAAUUUAUUGCCAUAUUUCUUUUUACCAAUUUCACCUUACAAUCAAUAAUAAUACAUUGACCUAUAUUAAAAAUACUGGUUUUUAUACGACCGCAAAAAAUUUUUGCGGUCGUAUAUUGGUAUGACGUUGUCGUCGUCGUCGUCGUCGUCGUUCGAAGACACAUUGGUUUUCGCACUUUAACUUUAGUUUGAAAGAAUGGAUCUCUUUGAAAUUUUACCAUAAGGUUCAAUACCACAAAAGGAAGGUGGGGAUUGAUUUUGGGGGUUAUGGUACCAACAGUUAAGGAAUUAGGGGCCAAAAAGGGGCCAACAGUAAGCAUUUUCUUGUUUCCAGACAAUAACUGUGGAACGGUGUAUGGAUCUCUCUGAAAUUAUACUACAAGUUUCCAUACCACAAAGGGAUGGUUAGGAUUUGCUUUGGGGGGUUAUGGCUCAAACCGUUUAUGAAUAAAGGGGCAAAAAAGGGGGAAAACAAGGUUGUCCUGGUUAAUGGACAAAUACUUUAGUACAAAACAUAAUUUAAAGCAGUGUAAGGGAGAUAAAUCAAAUACAUCAUUGAAAUUAUCUCCCUUACACUGCUUUUUAAUUAUGUAUAAAGUAAUGGUUGAUGAACAAUUAAGAUAAUUUAAAACAGUGUAAGGGAGGUAAUCCAAAUACAACGUUUUGGUUACUUCCCUUACACUGCUUUUAAAUUAUGUUUAAAGAAAUGCAUAUUUAUAAAGGAAGACCAGUAAAAAUAUCUGCAAAUGUUGCAUCUUUUUUUUUUACAAAAAAAUCCAUAUGAAAGAUUUGACACUAUAUUUUUAAAUUCUAUUAUGAAAUAGAUUAAGUUAGCACUAUGGUUAAUUUAAAUGGGUAAUUAUGGUUUCAAACUCCAUUGGAAAUUUGAAUUGAGAUUAUGACCAUAUCUUGAGGGAAAGAAUUUUUUGGGGGAAAAAAAGGGGGGUAAAAAGAAAUUGUGGGGGGUCAAUUUUUUCUCAUUUCAGAUUUCAGAAAUUAAAAAGAAUUAUUCUUCAAAUGUUAUUUUUUUUUUCAAAUUUCAAAUAUUGAAAAAUUUCAAGAAGUAAUCUUUAAUUGCACAGUAUGGCGCAUUAGAUUUGUAAAAUCUUUGACCACAUUUAUUUAUUUGUUAUGCCGAAUCUGACCGUGUAUUUAGAUUUUUAAUUUUGGGUCCAGUUUUCAAAUUGGUCUACAUUAAGGUCCAAAGGGUCCAAAAUUAAACUUUGUUUGAUUUUAACAAAAAUUGAAUAUAUGGGGUUCUUUGAUAUGCCGAAUUCAAACAUGUAUUUAGAUUUUUGAUUUUGGGCCCAGUUUUCAAGUUGGUCCAAAUUGGGGUCCAAAAUUAAACUUUGUUUGAUUUCAACAAAAAUUGAAUAUAUGGGGUUCCUUGGUAUGCUGAAUCUAACCAUGUAUUUAGAUUUUUUAUUUGUGGACCCCGCUAUCAAAUUGGUUCAUAUUGAGGUCAAAAGGGUCCAAAAUUAAACUUUGUUUGAUUUCAUCAAAAAUUGAAUUAUUGGGGUUCUUUGAUAUGCCAAAUCUAACCGUGUAUUUAGAUUUUUAAUUUUGGGUCCUGUUUUUUAAAUUGGUCUACAUUAAGGUCCAAAGGGUCCAAAAUUAAACUUAGUUUGAUUUUAACAAAAAUUGAAUUCUUGGGUUCUUUGAUAUGCUGAAUCUAAACAUGUGUUUAGAUUUUUGAUUAUGGGCCCAUUUGUCUAAGUUGGGGUCCAAAAUUAAACUUUGUUUGAUUUCAACAAAAAUUGAAUAUAUGGGGUUCUUUGAUAUGCUGAAUCUAACCAUGUAUUUUGAUUUUGGACAUUGGACCAUAAUAGGUAAAUUAAAAAAAAUUAAGUUCUUAGACCACAUUCAUUCUGUGUCAGAAACCUAUGCUGUGUCAAAUAUUUAAUCACAAUCCAAAUUCAGAGCUGUAUCAAGCUUGAAUGUUGUGUCCAUACUUGCCCCAACUGUUCAGGGUUCGACCUCUGCUUUAUACAAUGGAAUGUUUAAUUUUGACUUCCACUGAUAAAACACAGAUCAAGUUGAAUUUGGGUAGUGUCACUUUAACCAUUUUUGAGUUAUGCCCCUUUAUAAAUCGAAAGAUUGCAAAAUUUUUAGUUUCCAUUCUGUAACUUAAGUUUGCCCUAACCAAACAGUAUGAAACCUAUAAACAAUAUUCAUUACCACAAAACUAUUGUAAGAUCAAGUACAAAUUUUUUGUUUCCGUUUUCUAACUUUAGUUUGCCUCAACCAAAUGUUAUGAAACUUAUACACAAUGAUUAUUGCUACAUAAUACAGAUUAAGUACGAAAUUUGGUGAGAACACUUUUACCAUUCUUGAGUUAUGUCCCUUUAUAAACAUAAAAAUUGCUGAAUUUUUCGUUUCCGUUCUCUAACUUCAGUUUGUCUCAACCAAAUGUUAUAAAACUUAUACACAACCGUUCUAGAGUUAUGCGUGUUUACAAAUAGAAAAAUUGCUGAAUUUUUAGUUUCUGUUCUCUACUUGAGUUAGCCUCAACCAAAUGUUAUGAGACUUACACACAAUGCUUAUUACCACAAAACUCAGAUCAAGUUCAAAUUUGGGUAGCGUCCCUUUUUCCAUUCUUGAGUUAUGUCCUUUUAUAACUAUAUGCUAUGCAAGCGGGGGCAUCAUCUGUGUCCACAUGUGGACACUAUCCACAUUUAUUUUGCCAUGAUUUUAUCCGUCGUCUCCUUUCGAUGUUUUGAGUUUUGAUUCUCCCUUUGGUAUCGUCCGACUCUUUCUUCUUUGAAAAUCAAAACAAUAGAUCAGAUAAUGAGAUUUAUAUUACAUAUUAAAUUUUCUAAGACGAUGUUUUAUUCAUUUUUAUCAAAACGUUGGGACGAAAUGUGGCCGUUAAAGACUACCCUCCUUAGGUAGAAAAUGUUGUCUGUAGUUCAGUUUAUUCGUCUUUCUACGGCACAGUGGCGAACCUUAGUAAAAUUAAAAGAAAAAAAGAACAAUAAAGAGCCAAUUUCCAUUCCAUUACAGACAAAAAAUUAUUUAUAUUUCAAGCAGUAUAAAAGAAAACGAAA